CGCACGGGUGAGUAACGCGUACGCAACUUACCUCCAAGAGGGGCAUAGCCCUGGGAAACCGGGCUUAAUACCCCAUAGACUUUAGAUUGAGGCAUCUCGAUCAAAGUAAAGCUGAGGCGCUUGGAGAUAGGCGUGCGUGCUAUUAGCUAGUUGGUGAGGUAACGGCUCACCAAGGCGAUGAUAGCUAGGGGGCGUGAGAGCGUGGCCCCCCACACGGGUACUGAGACACGGACCCG
rnacentral:rRNA from 1 species